GACCUUUAAAGAUAUAUGUUCCUGCUUGUUGUAACUUAAACAUGUCACCAAUCAUAUGAUAUUUUAGGUGACUAGACUACUUAACAACAAAUAAAUUCAGUACGUCAUUUUGUUUUUAUUUCAAUAUGCAAAACAUUUGUGCAGACGAACUCCACCCAAUUCUUAAAGAACAAAAGACAAAAUGAACAAAAAAAAACGAAUAACAAACAAACAAUACAAAACAGACACGCAACGCAAUAGUUCAAACGUCAUUGAAUGCAUUUCAAAACAACAUGGUGAGAUAUUUAUGUUGAAUUCAGUUGGUAACAUCUCUGUCACUUCCCUGUGGCAAAACUGAAUAAUUUAUGGUGGCAGCAAUGAUUAGCAUCUGGAAUCUCUUGUCCAACAAGUCAUGUGACCAGAAUGUUUGUGGCAGGAACUAUGCAGCCAGCACACUGGCGCCAGGGACGAUGAGUGAUUCAGGAAGAUCGCCUCACAGACUCGCCUGGUGCCGUCUCGCCCGUCUCACCGUCUUUACGAGGUACUUCUUGGGAAAAACAAGUGAGCAACUUGCACUGUACAGGUGUUUUCAAAAGAUUAAGGCUCUGCCAACUGCUGCUGUGGACAAGUGCUGGACAAAGACAAGGCUGAGGGGAAGAGGAAAUUAAAUGUGUGCUGUUUUGAGGGACGGGGCGCUGGAGACAACACACUGGGCGGACUUCUGACCACUGAAGGGUCAGCACACACAAGUAGGGGUGUGUAAAAUACUUCCUCCAGCAAUCAUUGCCAGUGAAGCAAGACAGAGAGAUUGUCUUCUACCAACUACAACAAGGGAAGCAAAGGAGGUGUAACUUCUGCCCAGUGACCUGUUAUUGGUGUACCACACCUCUACACUUACUAUAACCCAGUAGUGUGUUUGAGGGUGGGCUUAUAUUGUUAUUUGCCACAAUAUAAAGUCAAAUAACAAGG